rfam:TPA: Bos taurus chromosome 10, whole genome shotgun sequence.
UCCCUGGCAGUCCAAAGGUCAGGACUCUGCACUUCCACUGCAAGGGGCACAGGUUCGAUCCCUGGUCAGUGAA